rnacentral:rRNA from 1 species
ACCAAGGCGCUUGAGAGAACUCGGGUGAAGGAACUAGGCAAAAUGGUGCCGUAACUUCGGGAGAAGGCACGCUGAUAUGUAGGUGAAGUCCCUCGCGGAUGGAGCUGAAAUCAGUCGAAGAUACCAGCUGGCUGCAACUGUUUAUUAAAAACACAGCACUGUGCAAACACGAAAGUGGACGUAUACGGUGUGACGCCUGCCCGGUGCCGGAAGGUUAAUUGAUGGGGUCAGCGCAAGCGAAGCUCUUGAUCGAAGCCCCGGUAAACGGCGGCCGUAACUAUAACGGUCCUAAGGUAGCGAAAUUCCUUGUCGGGUAAGUUCCGACCUGCACGAAUGGCGUAAUGAUGGCCAGGCUGUCUCCACCCGAGACUCAGUGAAAUUGAACUCGCUGUGAAGAUGCAGUGUACCCGCGGCAAGACGGAAAGACCCCGUGAACCUUUACUAUAGCUUGACACUGAACAUUGAGCCUUGAUGUGUAGGAUAGGUGGGAGGCUUUGAAGUGUGGACGCCAGUCUGCAUGGAGUCGACCUUGAAAUACCACCCUUUAAUGUUUGAUGUUCUAACGUGGACCCGUGAUCCGGGUUGCGGACAGUGUCUGGUGGGUAGUUUGACUGGGGCGGUCUCCUCCUAAAGAGUAACGGAGGAGCACGAAGGUUGGCUAAUCCUGGUCGGACAUCAGGAGGUUAGUGCAAUGGCAUAAGCCAGCUUGACUGCGAGCGUGACGGCGCGAGCAGGUGCGAAAGCAGGUCAUAGUGAUCCGGUGGUUCUGAAUGGAAGGGCCAUCGCUCAACGGAUAAAAGGUACUCCGGGGAUAACAGGCUGAUACCGCCCAAGAGUUCAUAUCGACGGCGGUGUUUGGCACCUCGAUGUCGGCUCAUCACAUCCUGGGGCUGAAGUAGGUCCCAAGGGUAUGGCUGUUCGCCAUUUAAAGUGGUACGCGAGCUGGGUUUAGAACGUCGUGAGACAGUUCGGUCCCUAUCUGCCGUGGGCGAUGGAGAACUGAGGGGGGCUGCUCCUAGUACGAGAGGACCGGAGUGGACGCAUCACUGGUGUUCGGGUUGUCAUGCCAAUGGCACUGCCCGGUAGCUAAAUGCGGAAGAGAUAAGUGCUGAAAGCAUCUAAGCACGAAACUUGCCCCGAGAUGAGUUCUCCCUGACCCUUUAAGGGUCCUGAAGGAACGUUGAAGACGACGACGUUGAUAGGCCGGGUGUGUAAGCGCAGCGAUGCGUUGAGCUAACCGGUACUAAUGAACCGUGAGGCUUAACCUU